rnacentral:rRNA from 1 species
GUACACUCCUGCGGGAGGCAGCAGUGGGGAAUUUUGGACAAUGGGCGAAAGCCUGAUCCAGCAAUGCCGCGUGAGUGAAGAAGGCCUUCGGGUUGUAAAGCUCUUUUGUCAGGGAAGAAACGGUGAAAGCUAAUAUCUUUUGCUAAUGACGGUACCUGAAGAAUAAGCACCGGCUAACUACGUGCCAGCAGCCGCGGUAAUACGUAGGGUGCAAGCGUUAAUCGGAAUUACUGGGCGUAAAGCGUGCGCAGGCGGUUUUGUAAGUCUGAUGUGAAAUCCCCGGGCUCAACCUGGGAAUUGCAUUGGAGACUGCAAGGCUAGAAUCUGGCAGAGGGGGGUAGAAUUCCACGUGUAGCAGUGAAAUGCGUAGAUAUGUGGAGGAACACCGAUGGCGAAGGCAGCCCCCUGGGUCAAGAUUGACGCUCAUGCACGAAAGCGUGGGGAGCAAACAGGAUUAGAAACCCCUGUAGUCCCA